rnacentral:rRNA from 1 species
AUUGAACGCUGGCGGCAGGCCUAACACAUGCAAGUCGAACGAAUGGCGGACUGGUGAGUAAUGUCUGGGAAACUGCCUGAUGGAGGGGUCUAACUACUGGAAACGGUAGCUAAUACCGCAUAACAUCCGAUGUGCCCAGGGGGGAUUAGCUAGUUGGUGGGGUAACGGCUCACCAAGGCGACGAUGCCUAGCUGGUCUGAGAGGAUGACCAGCCACACUGGAACUGAGACACGGCCCAGACUCCUACGGGAGGCAGCAGUGGGGAAUAUUGCACAAUGGGCGCAAGCCUGAUGCAGCAAUGCCGCGUGUAUGAAGAAGGCCUGCGGGUUGUAAAGUACUUUCAGCGGGGAGGCGUUACCCGAAGAAGAAGCACCGGCUAACUCCGUGCCAGCAGCCGCGGUAAUUC